UACAGAGGGUGCAAGCGUUGUUCGGAAUUACUGGGCGUAAAGCGCGUGUAGGCGGUUUGGCAAGUCAGACGUGAAAUCCCUAGGCUUAACCAAGGAAUGGCGUCUGAUACUGCCAGGCUUGAGUGUCGGAGGGGAUGGCGGAAUUCCCGGUGUAGAGGUGAAAUUCGUAGAUAUCGGGAGGAACACCUGUGGCGAAGGCGGCCAUCUGGAAGACAACUGACGCUGAGACGCGAAAGCGUGGGGAGCAAAC
rnacentral:rRNA from 1 species